rnacentral:rRNA from 1 species
UACGUAGGGGGCUAGCGUUGUCCGGAAUCAUUGGGCGUAAAGAGCGUGUAGGCGGCCCGGUAAGUCCGCUGUGAAAGUCGGGGGCUCAACCCUCGAAUGCCGGUGGAUACUGUCGGGCUAGAGUGCGGAAGAGGCGAGUGGAAUUCCUGGUGUAGCGGUGAAAUGCGCAGAUAUCAGGAGGAACACCGAUUGCGAAGGCAGCUCGCUGGGACGUUACUGACGCUGGAGACGCGAAAGCGUGGGGAGCAAACAGG